AAACAUUUAAUGAUUAAAAUAAGGAAAAAAAUAAAAAGAAAAGAAAAAUACAAAAAAUCAAAUUAGAAAAAGAAAGAUUAGCAGCAAUUCCCUUCACAUCUGCAUCCACGUCCUCUUCCCCCAUUUUAACCCAACACACCUAAUAACUUCCCUUCACAUCUGCUUCCACCACAAAUCCAAAACCUCUGCUAGAUUAGCAUGAAUUUUUGGGAAAAUUUUUUCUCACAUUCCCAUUCCCUGUGAAACCUAUUUUCGAUUCGUUUUCAUGUAGCAAAAUUUUAGAUUGUUUUGGGUGAUGUUGGUCUUUUGGGUAGUCAUUUUUAUGGCAGGUUCGAUUUCUGGUGGUACAACGGUGGAGUGUUAGUUGUGAAGAAGCUUGGUAAGUGAAGGGUGGUCCGUUUUCGAUGAUUUUUUAGGUUGACGAAUGGAUCUGUUUUGAUUAUUGUUGAUGUGCUUCGCUAUUUGGAUCUUUAAUAGAUUUUUUUUUGUGGGUGGUUGAUUGGUGGUACAACGGUGGAGUGUUGGUUGUGAAGAAGCUUUGUAGGUGAAGGGUGGUCACUUUUCGAUGAUUCUUUAGGUUGACGAAUGGAUUUGUUUUGAUUAUUGUUGAUGUACUUCGCUAUUUGGAUUUUUAAUUGAAUUUUGGGAAGGAGACUCAAAGGCUUGUUUGUUAAGAAUUUUCGAAAUUCCAUUGUUGGUCUUGCGAAGAACGAAUCUAUUGAUUUGAAACCUUAAGUUGUUGCUUACAAUAGUACUAAAACUCAGCUGGGUAUUGAAAUUUAGACUUGAAAAUGCGAUAAACAUUUAUGUUUGAGGAUUAAAGCUGGAGGGACAAGCAGAGACGCCAUUAAAGCUCGCUUGAAGCUUCUGGGUAUAUUCAUGGUUAGAAGAAAGAACCUACUGUAUUUCUUUUCUAUGGGUUCGAUAUUUGUGUAGGGUGGCCAAUCCUAUUUUUCAAAUAGUUUAUUAUCCUAUGUAGCACUAAUAAUGACGUUGCAUCCUACGUAUAGGAGAUUGUGUUACACACACUGGUAGCUCAUGUCAUAAGCGUUUAUUAUAUCCGAUUUGAACGAGUGUAAGUGUUCAAUUGGGAAACUGAUAAGUUUGGGGACCGGCAUGACAAAGUGGCACAAGUAUAAGUAUUAUUUAGGCUAUGCCUUAAAUAAUUG
rnacentral:lncRNA from 1 species